AUGUCAUGUCUCUUCUCUCAAGUGGAGUUCCAAACAGGCAAUUUACGAAGUAUUUUCGGAACGCUGUUGGCGCUGUGUUCCAGGAUGCCUGCAUUGUUGAUGAGACAUCAUGCGGGGCUGAAGCUGUCAUCAGAGGCACAGCGGGAAGCCUGCAUUACUGCUGCCUAUCCAGAUAAUGCUGUCUUCUUCUUCUUCUUCUUCUUUUUUAAUAAAUAAGUAUCAGCCAACAAGAGCUUAUUUUUUAUUUUUGGCAGAUGCAUGUAAGUCCACUUCCUAGACUCGGUAAGACUGCAACAUAAAAAUAAUUUGAACAUUAAUUUUCUUAGUAUGCAUUCUUCAUUAGAGGCUGGGACAAGGUCUCAGGUCCAGGGGGUUUAAUUGGGAGGUAAUCUCAGGAAGUAGGAGUUGGUAUUGAGAAUGAGAGGAAAUGGCAGAGAAAAAAAUGGGGCUGUGCAGUCAAGGCCAAGGCCACUGCUAAAGGCAGUGGGCUGUUGGUGCUACAAACUUGGGAAAUUGUAGAGGAAACUUUCCCUGAGUUGUCCUCUUGAGCAGGUGAGGGUUUUAAAUUCUUCUAGUUGCCUCCCACGUGUAAGGGAGGGAAGGGGGCUCAUACUCUCCAGGCUGUGUCCAUUUGGAAUAUCUCUCUCAGACCAUUCUUACAACUCAUCUUUAGCACCACCUAAGACUUAACUCUCCAGGAAGCAGCCCCACCUGUGCAGCUCUGUCAGAUCUGGGCUGAGGGAAGGAGACAGAUACCAAGGGCAUCUGUUACAUUAGGAUUCUUCCCCCCCAUCUGUGUGUGUGGGGGGCACCUAGUAAGAGUGCUUGUACACACCUGUAUAGGUCAGAGGAAGGAGUGGGUAGCCUGCUCUCAUUCUUCACUGUAUUCCCCUGAGACAAUGUCUGUCAACGUCUGUCAGUUACUGAACCUUGAACUUUGCUGGCAACCACCAAGCCCCAUGCAAUCUUCCUACCUCUAGCCCCCACAGUGGGUGGGGUAAUAGAUGCACAUGGGCAUGCUGGGGAUUUGAACUCAGGUCCUCAUGCUUGUGAGCCAUCUCCCCAUCCCUGAAUUCCUUUGUUUUUUUUUUUAACAGACAAUAUAAUCUUCAUUUCUUGUCAUUAUCUGAAAUUUAAAUGUCCUAUGGAUUAAGAAUGGAAUACUGUGUGUUUAUAAAAAAACACAAUUGAGGAAUUUAUAAUUGAGAUAAUUUAUGUCACAUCUAUAGCAUCAAAAAAUUCAUCGAGGAAAGGCUUGAGUCUACUAUGGCAUCCUCUUGGCUUCAGUAGCCUGCUGUAAUCCUUGGGCAGGCUGCCUCCUUCUAUUGGCAGCCUUCUUAGGGAUUCUGACUAGGUGGCAGGAGCAGAGGUGACCUGUGGCUUCUAGCGAGACACAUCAAGUGCAACCAAGGUGGUAUUCUACCACUGAACAUGGACUUCCCCAGAGAAAGUGCUGGAAAUGGUCCUGUUCUAGAUAGUCAAAGACGAUAGUAUAGAAUACAAGAUUUAGGAAGGAUUGAGGCAAGCAAGCAUAGCCCAGAUGGUGAUGCUGACAUUUGUCUUCAUAUAUGCUAGACACUUGCCUCCAUUUGUAGUUGACAUUACCAUUUAGUGGCAUCUAAGCUAACCGCCAGGUCCCGACACUACCAGUGCAAAUACAUUUUAGAGCUUUUCAUUGUUUUGAAUGAUUUUAUAUGAAAAUUACACUAAAUGAACAUUCUAUUUUCAUGAA
rnacentral:lncRNA from 1 species